rnacentral:rRNA from 1 species
UGGGGAAUUUUGCACAAUGGGGGAAACCCUGAUGCAGCGACGCCGCGUGAUUUAGAAGGCCUUCGGGUUGUAAAAAUCUUUUUUACGGGAUGAAAAUGACAGUACCGUAAGAAUAAGGUCCGGCUUAAUACGUGCCAGCAGCCGCGGUAAUACGUAUGGACCGAGCGUUGUCCGGAAUCAUUGGGCGUAAAGGGUACGUAGGCGGCCUAGUAAGUUAGAAGUGAAAUAAUAUAGCUCAACUAUAUAAAGCUUUUAAAACUGCUAGGCUUGAGAGAUGGAAGGGAAAGUGGAAUUCCUAGUGUAGCGGUGAAAUGCGCAGAUAUUAGGAAGAAUACCGGUGGCGAAGGCGACUUUCUGGUCAUCAUCUGACGCUGAGGUACGAAAGCGUGGGUAGCAAACAGG